UGAGAAAAUGCAAACAUACAAUAGGGUGAAAGCAAACAGGUAAUGCAGCUUUUGUGCCAACCACCAUCAAAUCUGCAGGGCUCACCUUUCCAUUUCUCCUCUGUAUCAAUUGCCUUUGAAAAAUCUGAGUCACUGAGCAUGCCUAUAGCCCCCAUCCUCAAGAGGAAGGAGCAGGAAUACUGAGAGUUUGAAAAACCCUGGACUACAUUCACAAGUUCAAGGCCAGCCUGAGAUACAUAGUGAAACACUAUUAUUAUCACAGAGAAAGGAGCUUCAGUUGAGGAAAUGCCUCCAUGAGAUCCAACUGUAAGGCAUUUUCUCAAUUAGUGAUCAAGGGGGAAAGGACCCUUGUGGGUGGAACCAUCUCUGGGCUGGUAGUCUUGGUUCUAUAAGAGAGCAGGCUGAGCAAGCCAGGGGAAAGCAAGCCAGAAAAGAACAUCCCUCCAUGGCCUCUACAUCAGCUCCUGCUUCCUGACCUGCUUGAGUUCCAGUCCUGAUUUCCUUUGGUGAUGAACAGCAGUAUGGAAGUAUAAGCCGAAUAAACCCUUUCCUCCCCAACUUGCUUCUUGGUCAUGAUGUUUGUGCAGGAAUAGAAACCCUAAUUAAGACAACUGUCAAACAAAAACAACAAAACAAAACAACAACAACAACAGCAUCCCUAGGGUUGAGGAUGGAGCCCAGUGAGUCUCACAGAGAUCCACUUGCUUCUGCCUCCCAAGUGCUGGGAUGAAAGGUGGCACCACCAUACCCCAAGAGCUUGAAAACUGCUUUUUAAGGCCAAUAGUUUGACAGCCUGGACUAUAUAAAGAGACCCUGUUUCAAAAAACCACACACACACACACCACCUGAUUUUUAAUUGAGCAGUAUAUUACAGACAAGAUGUCUAUUUCCUCUUUUAUAUAGUUUUAUUAUUAGUGAUGAUUAAUCUUGAUGGUGGACUGGACUGGAUUGUGGGAUACAUAAUAAUUUAGUUAAGAACACAUCUGCAUGAGUGCAUGCAGGGUUAUCUGUGAAGGAUGACCUGAAGUCAGGGAGAAGAGUGAGUGACAGCAGACAGUAGGCUGUCUCCUGGAUGAAGUACAGGCCGUGGCACAGGACAGAUGCUAUCUCUACUUCCUGGCUGCCAUGUGAGAUGUUCUCUGCCGUACCCAUUUCAUCACGCUGAGCUCCCUUCUGCAAACCAUGAACCAACACCAGUGUCUCCCCUCUGACGUUGUUGUUGUCUGGUAUUUUGAUAUAGGGUCCCCAAAUUACAAUUACAGAGUACUCAGUCAUGCAGGGAGACUGUAUAUGUAAUCCUGCUUUUAAAUCUCUUUGCCACUAUACACCUUGUUGAGAUGAAAAUUCAUAUUGCUAAAAUGUUGUACAGCCUUGAAAUGCAUUCCUAAACUAAGUUAGCUAGGCACGCUAGCUAGUCAACACAUCUGCAAACUGUACUAAGUUCCUGGCACAAAGAUGGUCAGCUUCUACUGUGGUCAGCAGUACAGGUUUCCCUAUACUGAUAUGCAAACAUUAUAUUUUGCUUUAAUUAGCAUUGCUUUGGCUAACCAGGCUCUUUCUUUGGGGAUCAUGCUCCUGUGUCAUUUUUUCCUCCUAUUUUCUCCAUCUUUGUAUGAUUCAUCUCUAAGCUGGCAUCCAACUAACCCACAAGAGGGAAAAGUUCCAGGCACCUUAGAAGACCAGACACCCAAAGCAGUCCAGCUGUGCUGACCCCAUGGCUCUAGGCUUCGCUUUUCUCUGAACAGUAGAGACCGUUUCUCUCCUUUUCUGACAGCUGAAUAUAACCAACAUGGUAGAUUCCCCAUCUGCUUCUCCAGAUUCAUGGAGACAUCUGGAAGGAUGGAGGCACUUCUGCCUUCUUCAGAUCAGUUCCUGCCUGAAGUCAGGAAAAGAUGGAGAUGACAAGGUAAUUAAGAGCUCUUGAAGAAGACCCAAGUUCAAUUCCUAGCACCCAGGUCAGGUGGCUCAUAACUAUGUGUAACACUAGCUCCAAGGGACUUCACACCAUCUUCUGGCCUCGGAAGGCACAUGGGCACACAUGCACACGCGCACAGAAAGAGACAGAGACAGACAAACAUAUAAAAAUAAUAAAAUAAAUAAAUAAAAGAAAAAAGGCAAAGGGAGAUGGUUCUGUGGCUAAAAAUGCUUGAUGUGAAAGCAAGAGGCAUCGAGUUCAAAUCCUGAUCAGCCAUAUAAAAGUUGGGUAUGUAUUCCUCUAACCCAAGUACUGGAUAAGUAAACAGGUGGGUCCUGGGUACUUGCUGGACAACCAGUCUAGACAGAGGGUUUCAAGUUCAGCCAGAGACUCUGUCUC
rnacentral:lncRNA from 1 species